rnacentral:rRNA from 1 species
CCUACGGGAGGCAGCAGUGAGGAAUAUUGCACAAUGGGGGAAACCCUGAUGCAGCGACGCCGCGUGAGUGACGAAGUAUUUCGGUAUUUAAAACUCUCUCAGCAGGGAAGAAAAUGACGGUACCUGAUUCAGAAACCCCGGCUAACUACGUGCCAGCAGCCGCGGUAAUAAGUAAGGGGCAAGCGUUAUCCGGAUUUACUGGGUGUAAAGGGAGCGUAGACGGCAUCACAAGGCUGGAGGGAAAUGCCCGGGUUGAACCCCGGAAGUGCAUUGGAAACCGGUCAGCUAGAGUGCAGGAGAGGUAAGUGGAAUUACUAGUGUAGCGGUGAAAUGCGUAGAUAUUAGGAGGAACACCAGUGGCGAAGGCGGCUUACUGGACUGUAACUGACGUUGAGGCUCGAAAGCGUGGGGAGCAAACAGGAUUAGAUACCCGAGUAGUC